UUUCCGUAGGUGAACCUGCGGAAGGAUCAUUAUUGGAUUUUGAAACUUCAGGCUGCUGCCGGCUCUCCUCGGAGGGCAUGUGCACGCUUGUUGUCCAUUAUUUCUCCCACUGUGCACAAAUUGUAGACCUUUCAGUAGGCCUAUGUUGUUUUUCACAAUCUCUGAAUGUAAUAGAAUGGUUUUGAAUCUUGGGAAAUACAAUACAACUUUCAGCAACGGAUCUCUUGGCUCUC
rnacentral:misc_RNA from 1 species